rnacentral:rRNA from 1 species
CUACUGGGUGCUGCAGUGGGGAAUAUUGCACAAUGGGCGCAAGCCUGAUGCAGCCAUGCCGCGUGUAUGAAGAAGGCCUUCGGGUUGUAAAGUACUUUCAGUCGUGAGGAAGGUGGUGCAGUGAAUAGCUGCAUUAUUUGACGUUAGCGACAGAAGAAGCACCGGCUAACUCCGUGCCAGCAGCCGCGGUAAUACGGAGGGUGCGAGCGUUAAUCGGAAUUACUGGGCGUAAAGCGCAUGCAGGUGGUUUGUUAAGUCAGAUGUGAAAGCCCGAGGCUCAACCUCGGAAGGUCAUUUGAAACUGGCAGGCUAGAGUACUGUAGAGGGGGGUAGAAUUUCAGGUGUAGCGGUGAAAUGCGUAGAGAUCUGAAGGAAUACCGGUGGCGAAGGCGGCCCCCUGGACAGAUACUGACACUCAGAUGCGAAAGCGUGGGGAGCAAACAGGAUUAGAUACCCCCGUAGUC